CCCUUAGAUGUUCUGGGCCGCACGCGCGCUACACUGAUUCAUGCAACAAGUUUUGUCCUUGGCUGAUAGGCCUGGGUAAUCUUUGAACGUGAAUCGUGAUGGGGAUAGAUGAUUGCAAUUAUUCAUCUUCAACGAGGAAUUCCUAGUAAACGCAAGUCAUCAGCUUGCAUUGAUUACGUCCCUGCCCUUUGUACACACCGCCCGUCGCACCUACCGAUUGAAUGGUCCGGUGAAAUCUUCGGAUCUGAGAGAUGUCUGAUUAAUUUCGGACGCCUUUUGGAAAAGUUGUUUAAACCUUACCAUUUAGAGGAAGGUGAGGUCGUAACA
rnacentral:rRNA from 1 species